UUAUGAUAGUAUGUGUACGAUUGUCCUGAAUCAAACUACUCUGAAAACUAUGGUGAACUACAGUUUCAAAUGAGGGCUUGGAUACAACAUAUUCAGAUGUGAAAAAGUAUAUAAAUAUAUACAAGUAAAGUAGCAGGCUAUGCAUUUUUGUUUUGUUUUUAGAUGGUCGCUACAAUUGAUCACCACAAACUUUUGGAGAUCCCACAUCAUAUAUAUCUCACAAAUGAUCAAAUUUAUUUAGACAUUACAAGUGUCUUGGAUCCAUAAGCGGUCUUGGUAAUAUAAGCUGGUCAUGACUCAUGAUCUCUGCCACUUGUACCUGGUCGGCACAAGCAUGAGGGGGACCUUCUAGUUGACGGUGAGCCCUCCUGCCUCUUCCAUGCUCACAUCCUCCACCGUCAUACCAUCCGGGAGCUCCCACUUGAAGCAGUGGAGCAGGUUGGCCAGCAUGAACUCCGCUAUCGUCACCCCCAUGGCCACUCCAGGGCGGCACAUCCUACGUCCAGCGCCUAACGGCAGAAGCUCCAAAUGUGCCCCAUUGAAGUCGACACCAUUCCCCUCAAACCUAUCUGGGUCACAUUCCUCGGGGUUACUCCAGCUUGCAGGUCCCUGCCAAUUGCCCAAACAUUUAUAAAGAUCCUUGUCUUGGCAGGCACAUCGUAUCCGCAGAUCUUGAUGUGCUACAUGGUCUCCCUCGGAGCUAGAAGCGGUACCACCGAGUGUAGCCGUAGUGUCUCCUUUACCACCAUCUUAAGGUACUUAAGUUUGGGCAAGUCGUCCGGCUCUACCCUCUCUUUGUUGCCCACCGCUCCUCUGAUCUCAUCUUGUGCCUUCUUAAGAACCUCCAGGUUUCGAAUCAGCUCGGCCAUUGCCCAGACAUUCUCUUUGGACCAAAUUUCACUUGCUCUUUUUUGAAACUAAAUUUCACUCUCUCUUGUUAGUCAGGCCAAUUCUUGUUUGGUCUAGACCAAGAGAGAGAAGAAAAUAAAUAAGGAGAAAAAAUUGAAAUGGGCAUAUUCUGAGGGGUUGAGUGGAGAAAGGUUCCAUCUACCAAAACAAACCUAUUAGUUUACUAGUCUCCUGUUUUAAAAUGCAAGGUAUUUAGUAAACAUAUUUUUAUGGUAGGUUUAAUAAAAGUAGAGAAGUUUAAUUUAGGAUAAAAUUAAAAUACUUAUAUUUUGAGACAAAUUAAAGGAAGUAGUUGGAAGCUGAAAAGUCCCAUCCUCUAAUUUAAGAGACUCAAUCAGUGGCGCCUCUUGAUAAACACAUGCAUGUUCAGUACUAUCACUUUCUGUAUAUUCCAUGGUGUGUCGUCUGAACUUUCUUAUACGUGAUACGUAGAAUUUUAGAUUCAUUUAGCUACAUAUGUUAUAUACUAUUUGAAUUUGCAUGAAUAUUAAUUACAUGUUAUGCGCUAGGUACCUCGGCUUCUCACUUGCAAUGCAGUGAUGAUAUAAAGAAGAUGAUGAUCCAGGCAUGCCGAUCACUGGAGACAUUAUCUCUUUACUUUUUUUUAUUUCCCAUGGAUGAAUGUUUAGUUUACGGAUUGACUUUUGAUGUUUUAAGUGCUCUGUUAAACCUUGUACUGUGGUGCAUAUAGUGUUGAUCUAUCACGUGCAAUAAUGUGUAGACCGAUUCUCUUUUGCCAAAGGGAAGAAGCCGGAACUCCUUCCAUCCAUUAGCUAAAAAAGUACCUCGGCUUCUCUGGUGUACCAGGCUGCCUCGACGCGGCGCAUGCUGAGCAUCUCGCGCCAGUACUCGCCGUAGGGCGCGCACACCAGGUCCUUGUGGCCGUACGACAACCGCCGUGUUCCCGGCGUGUCCCGGCGGCUGCAGCAGUCGGCGUCGUGCGUCUUCAUCACCUCCCUCGCCGCCUCCGUGGACGACACCACCACCGUCCGGCGUCCGCACCGUGCCCAGCCGCAGCAGCAGCAUCGGCCCGUGGCGGCUCCGGUGGGGAGCGCGCCCAUGAUCUGAUGCAGGUUGCCCAGGACAGGCAGGACAGGCAGGACAGGCAGCCUCAGCAGUGGACCGGGCGGCAGGUGGAGGCGGUCCCCUUUGGUGGAGAAGAAGCUUAUUGUUGCAAGAGCGAGGGCGAGGAGAGGGAGAAGAAACGUAAAGAAGAUGGCAGGGAGCUGCAGUUUCCAUUGUUGAGGCAUGCAUUCCAGGACAGGUAAAGGCAUGGCCACUGUUGAGUUAUUGUGCAUGUGCAUAGUAGCUUGUGCGGUAUAAAUAGGCGGCAAAUUGCUUGUGGAGACAGUAAUGUCGUUUGAUCGCCUCUCCCAACUCCCUCCUUCCCAAUAAUGCUUGGCUAUUUGAAAUGUGCAAGAAACUAAUGCAUUGGGAUAUAUCUACGGUAGUGUCUAUGUGAGAGGUGGAGAGAGAGAGAGCUAAAGACGUACGACAUCACCGGAAGACAUUAUUUGCAAUGGGAGUGGCCCGUCCUCAGCGCAAGGUUUUGUUGUGCGAUUUUCAAGAAUUUCAUGUCAUCUAAUAUAAUGAUCAUCUCAAUGAUAAAUGAAACUAAGUCUAACAAUACACUUCAUGGUUUCAUAUCGUUUAAAUGUUCCAUCUAAGUGACCAAUGAGAGUUGAUGAAUGUGUGUACAUGAAACUCAAACCUCUCAAUGGAGUUUCAUUAUGGUUUCAUGGCUCUUGGUAACUGUGUACACCUAGUUUCAUCCUCAUGAUUCAUACCAUGUUAUCACUUUUUUUUUCAAAUUCUUUUCCAUAUAAUAUUGUAUGCAGGUCGUAUAUAUAUUUCAUGACAGUAAUAUAUAUACACACACAAUUCUUAGUAUAUUAUACACGUAUUUAUAUAAUUACUAUAUAUAUAAUAAUCUGUCCUAUUUAUUUCUAGGAUCCUCCCGCUAUGGUGUUGCUCAGUGUGGCUAUUGAACGUACGUCGUAAUAAAAUUCUCCCGUGGAAUUUAUCACCUCGACCACCAGGAAUUCUACGAGACCUUCACAUAUUGCCAAAAUCCUCUCUUUCAAGAGUUUUUGUUGAAUAUUAAACAUCUGUAAUUUGAAAAUAUAUGGAUGUUACACAAACAAUUAAAUAUAAGGAGCUAGAAAACAAAUAAUUAUUAAUAGUUUUAUUUUACAUACAUUUAUAUCAUGCAACGAUAGCACCUUGUGAUGCACAAAUUUGUUCAUGUGCUCACAGACGUAGUAUCCACAUAGAUUAUUGCCUAGUUUCUAUCUCAAGCACUUUAGUGGGAAAAAUAAGUUAUGAAAUAUCGGUGUUAUAGAAUGUACAAAAUGUGCAAACUUCAUAUGUACUGGGAACUUUGUAUUGAAUGUAAGUUUUUCUUUGAAUGGACCAUAGUGAGUCUUAAGGAAUCAUUUCCAUGUGCUGUGGAUUAAAACAAUGCAUGAAACAGUGUUAGGUGAAAAUUUAGGAAACAAACUUUUGCAUAGAGAUAAAGAUUCAGAAUUAUUACGAGUUUAGCAUGUCUUGAACGUAUUGGUACUCCGCCGGUGGUUUCCUCAAUGAAUCGAACACAACAACGUGACUUUUAUCAAUCAUAAUUAUUAUGAGAAUCCAGUGAAAAUUGCAUACAUAAAUGUUCAUAUUAGAGCUAACUAACAUCAAUUAGGUAAGGAAAAAGAAAACAAAAAAUAGAAGGUACCCACACUUACUUAAUGUUGUAUGGCAGUAGUAUGUAUUCCUUGUAAUUUUGUUUGUCUAAGAAAUUGUAUACAGCCUCCAAUGUUUUCUUUGGCUUAUUCCGUAUCUGAGCUUGGUUAACGAGCGAUGGAUCCAUGAAGCCAAUAUUGAAGUACGAUUCUCUACGGCACCUUUGAAUUAGCAUCGUACAUAAAAUGAAAGAUGAAGUUAUUAGGGUGACGCACACGCAAAAAAUAAUGAUAUGAGCCAAAAUUUACAUAUUGAUAAAUAGACACUUACAGAACCUAGGCGUUGAUGAGAGAGACAUCAAGGGCAUCCUGAUGGUACACUUCAUAUAUAUCCUUGAAUUCCAUCCAUAGGAGUUUCUCAACUUCACCAAAAAAAUCAAUCGGUUUAACCCAAAGAGUGAACAUGAGCCUCUCGUUGGCAGACCGCUCCUUGUACCAUUCAUGAAAUUCGUACAUCUUUGUGGAGAGCUUCCGUACCAAUUUAGGCCUUACUAGAGGCUUGCCUACCUCAAAGGGCCAUUUAGGUACAAUUGGCUCUGGGGCUAGCGGUUCAACUUGCCCUAGAACAUCAUCAAGAGACAUAUCUGUAUCUUGCAUAAAUCCAAUGACUCUAAUUUGUUGUUCUAAGGGUCUUGCUUGUAUAGUUUGAGCAUCUUUAUCUGGUAGAUCCCCGAGCUGGGGGAUAGUAUGACUUGAAGACGACGCUCCUCGCCAUUUUUUCUUCUCAUCAGACUUAACUAAUGAAUGCUCAUAGUUACUUAUUCUUCUAGCUUGUGGGGGUAUAAAUAGGGAGCUAAUUGCUUGUGAAGUAGUAUAACUUUUUUGCAGGUUCUAUUCAGGAAAACAUAUUGGCUUCGGUUUUAGGCUAAAUUGCAGGGACUGAAGCCGAAGAAUACUUGACUCAAGCGUGCUGUACAUUGGAGAUGACGGCUCUACACUUCUUUAGUUCCCAUGGAUAGCCUUUUAAUUUGCAAAUUUGUAUUUGAGUUGGAAAUUUUGUUAAAUUCAACUAUUUGGUGUUGGUAGAAUUUGGCCAUCAUUUGUAAUAUGAGGUUGAAGCUGAAAUUUUCUUCCAUUAUCUAAAAAAAAUAAUGUAGCCUUAUGGCACGUGUGGUUACCAUCAAGCAACAACCAGCUCCCAAGAUAAUGUUGGGGCGCGGGGGGAAUCGGCGCCACAUGAAACCUACUGCUUUUCCCUGUUUUCUGCGCUAUGACUGCUACCAUCAACUAAUCAGCAACAAGCACAGCAGCGAGCGAGAUUCUUGUGGCCAGGCGAGGCGAACGGUGGCCGGGAAGCAGGCACCAAACAUGUCAUAAGUCUAUGUAAGCAUUAUUGCUACAGUGUAUGUUGAUAAGGAGUACUAGGUAAUCAUGUGAUGGACCACUAAAAAACGAGCGGAGAAAGUGUGACAAGUAGCUUUACAAUAAUAGAGCUUAUCAACUACUCCGUCAAGUCAAAUCUUGUUUGGCAAUUCGUGUGGCGUUUUGCUAUAUACUCCGUCCAUAAAAAAAUAUAGCUAUGCUUAUAUUUGUUCUAAGUCACAUACUUUUAUUUCUUUACCAACAAUAUCUCUAAAAAAUAUUAUGAUAGUUGGUAUGUCAUUAACAAUUUAUAUAGUUAAAGUUAAAUUUUUUAACUUCGGAUGAAUCUAAGCAUAAUAUAACUGCAUAUGCCGGAGAGGAGAGUGAAGGACCUCAUUCAUGAAUAUAUGGAUGAAGGAUGGGAGACCCUGGAGAGUUCAGCAUUAGCUCCUACAAGUAAAAGAAUGUCCAAGCCAAAUUCGCUACUCCUAUUGAGCUACUGGUUAGCACUAGUACUAGUUCGUAGCUGUCCAUGCAUGCAAUUUGCAGUUUGAACUUAGGGUCCGUUUUAUUGGAUUCACACAAUCAAUCCAUUAGCUGCUAGUUGGAAUUAACUGGAAUUAGUCACUUAUUCUUCUAGCUUGUGGGGGUAUAAAUAGGGCGCUAAUUGCUCGUGAAGUAGUAUAACCCUUUUGCAUGUUCUAUUCAGGGAACAUAUUGGCUUCGGUUUUGGUCUUAAUUGCAGGGACUGAAGUACUUGACUGAAGCAUGCCGUACAUUGGAGAUGAUGUACACUUCUUUAGUUCCCAUGGAUAGCCUUUUAAUUUGCGAAUUUGUAUUUGAGUUGAAAAUUUUGUUAAAAUCCAACUAUUUGGUGUUAGUAGAAUUUGGCCAUCAUUUGUAAUAUGAGGUUGAAUCCGAAAUUUUCUUCCAUUAUCUAAAAAAAUAAUGUAGCCUUAUGGCACGUGUGGUUACCAUCAAGCAACAACCAGCUGCCAAGAUAAUGUUGGGGCGCGGAGGGAAUCGGCGCCACAUGAAACCUACUGCUUUUGCUUGUUUUCCGCACUAUGACUGCCAUCAACUAAUCAGCAAGAAGCACGGCAGCGAGCGAGAUUCUUGUGGCUAGGCGAGGCGAACGGUGGCCGGGAAGCGGGAACCAAACAUGUCAUAAGUCUAGGCAAGCAUUAUUGCUACAGUGUAUGUUGAUAAGCUCUAGUGGAGUACUAGGUAAUCAUGUGAUGGACCACCUAAAAACCAGCGGAGAAACAGUGACAAGUAGCUAUACAAUAAUAGAGCUUAUCAACUACUCCGUCAAGUCAAAUCUUGUUUGGCAGUUCGUGUGGUGUUUUGCUAUAUACUCCGUCCAUAAAAAAAUAUAGCUAUAUGCUUAUAUUUGUUCUAAGUCACAUACUUUUAUUUCUUUAGCAACAAUAUCUCUAAAAAUUAUUAUGAUAGUUGGUAUGUCAUUAACAAUUUAUAUAGUUAAAGUUAAAUUUUUUAACUUAGGAUAAAUCUAAACAUAAUAUAAGUGCAUUGGAGCAGGAGACAUGAAUAUAUGGAUGAAGGAUGGGAGACCCUGGAGAGUUCAGCAUUAGCUCCUACAAGUAAAAGAAUGUCCAAGCCAAAUUUGCUACUCCUAUUGAGCUACUGGUUAGCAGUAGUACUAGUUCGUAGCUGUCCAUGCAUGCAAUUUGCAGUUUGAACUUAGGUUCCGUUUUAUUGGAUUCACACAAUCAAUCCAUUAGCUUCUAGUUGGAAUUAACUGGCAUUAGUUACUUAUUCUUCUAGCUUGUGGGGGGUAUAAAUAGGGCGCUAAUCGCUUGUGAAGUAGUAUAACCUUUUUGUAGCUUCUAUUCAGGGAAACAUAUUAGCUUCGGUUUUAGGCUCAAUUACAGGGACUGAAGCCGAAGAAUACUUGACUGAAGCGUGCCUUACAUUGGAGAUGAAGGCUCUACACUUCUUUAGUUCCCAUGGAUAACCUUUUAAUUUGCGAAUUUGUAUUUGAUUUGAAAAUUUUAUUAAAUUCAACUAUUUGGUGUUGGUAGAAUUUGGCCAUCAUUUGUAAUAUGAGGUUGAAGCCGAAAUUUUCUUCCAUUAUCUAACAAAAAUAAUGUUUUUGAUCACCCUCUCCCAGCCCAAUAAUAUAAUACGCUACUCCCUCCUCCCAAUAAUUUAAUGCUUGGCGAGUUGAGAUAUAUAUGCAAGAAAUUAAUGUAGAGUGUCUAUGUGAGAUCGAUCGUGAGGUGGAGAGCAGUAGACGAUCGACAUUAUUUGCAUCGGAAGUGGCCUAUAAUGGUAGUCACAAGGGUCGGUAUCUGCUCUCUACAACAUUUCCACGUCAGUUUGUGUCUUCCAACGUCUCUCUGCUCUGGCACCAAAUAUCUAUCCCACGGUUAAGUGAAUGAAAUCAAUCAAGAGAAUAUCGAUCUGUAGGCAAGUGACGACGAAGCCUAAAGAUAAUAUAUGUGUGGUUGCCAAACAAUCAACAACCAACUAUUUGUGAAUGAAAUUUUGUUAAAUUCAACUAUUUGGUGCUGGUAGAACUUGGCCAUCAUUUGUAAUAUCUGUGGACUGAUUCGUUCUCUUUGAGGAGGUUGAAGUCGAAAUUCCAACUGCCAAUAAUGUUGGGGCGCGGGAGAAAUCGGCGCCACAUGAAACCUGCUGCUCUUGGCUCUUGCUUGUUUUCCCCUAUGACUGCCAUCAACUAUUCAGCAACAGAACAGCAGCGAGAUUCUUGUGUCAUAAGUCCUAGGUGGAGUACUAUCUAUUGCUACAGCGUGUUGAUAAGCUCUAGUGGAGUACUAGGUAAUCAUGUAAUGGACCAACUAAAAAACAAGUGGGGAGAGUAUGACUAGCUCGAUUUUUUUUAAUUUUAACCCUUUUUUCAAUAUAAUUUUAAAAAUAACCUCUCCCAACAAAUAUUUCCAUCCGGUGACCCUUUUGGUCACGCCAAUCCGUGUGGCGUGACAGGAUCAUGUUGUCGCACCACAUGCAUUGGCGUGACAAGGCCACCACGCUGGUGGAGCCGAUGAUGUGGAACGCUCCUAUCACGCCAAUGCAUGUGGCGCGACAACGUGAUUUGUCACGCCAAUGCCUGUGGCGUGUGUGGGGGCCCUCCCGAGAUUUUUUUUUGCAGCGCCGGGCAUGGUCACCUAUUUUAUCCUGGGUCUUUAGUCCCGGUUGAGUGACCCGGGACAAAAGAUCCCCCCUUUUUCCCAGUUAGUUUAUCCCGGAUGAAUUUUUGGGAGAUUUGCAUCCUACCAACCGGGACUAAUACCAGUUUAUGUGGUACAUGUGCACGGCUUAGGCCCCGUUUAGUAUGGCUUUGGCUCGUGAAAAAACAGUUCUGACUCUAGCUCAUAUGGAGAAGCAGCUUUUUCUAGCUCUGGCUUAUUUUGUACGAAAACGUUUGGCAAAACGGCUUCUCCUAGAUUUUUAUAAUGUAAAGAAGAUGCCAAAUGUCCAAAAUACUGUUAUUUUUUUCUCUCUUUUCUUUUUCUUUUUUCUCUUCAUUUUCCUUUUCUUUCCUUUUUUUAUUUCUCUUUCCUUCUCCCCUUCUUUUCUUUUCCCCUCCUCUCUCUUUAUCCAAUCCCGGCCGGCCCCUCCUCCCUCCCGGCCUUCCCAUCCUGGCGGUCAUGCCCCCACACCGCGGCCCCGCGCGAGUGCGUGCACCUGCGGGGCGGGGGGGUGCAGGCGGGGCGCGGCGCAGGCGGAGCAGGAGGUUGGCUGUGGGGGAAGAACUGAGGGCGGAGGCGGGGCGCGCUGGCCGGAGCAGGAACCUAGCGGUGGGACGGAGCAGGAAGCCGGCAAGGCGGAGUAGGAGGUCGGCGGCCGUGGUGGAGGAGAUGGAGGCGCGCGGGAAGGAGCAGGAGGCCGACGAUGGGGGAGGAGGAGGCCAGGGGUGCAUGGAGGCGGCCGUCGGCGCGCGGGCGCCGGGGAGCAGCCGGGGGUGCCGGGGAGGAGAGCAGGCUGAGGACAAGGAUGGAAAAUCAUGUACGUGGAUGGGGAGAAGCUGGGGGAAGCCAUUUUUUCUAGCUCGUCAUGCCCAGUUGAUUUCGGCCUACGGCUUUUGCCGGCUCAUGCGCUGAAGCCAUUUUCUCUUAAUCCGUUUGGUACAGUUUGUGCAAAAGUUGGUGGAAGAGCUGGUGGGAGAGCCAUGCCAAAGGGGGGCUUAGUUAUGGAGUAUACUAUAAAUAGGGCGAGCCAAACCUUUGCUGCAGGCUGUGGCGUUUUCUUGAUACGAAAAUGACCUCCAUCCUCCGUCGGUCCUUGUAUUAGCUGAAGUAGAUACCAUGCAUGAGCUCAUAGCUACAACUUGGAAUAUCAAUCCAGCUAGAUCACUGAUGGAAAAUGUGGUAUUAGUCUCAGUUGGAUAGGGCCAUAGAUCCCGACAGAUCCCUUUAGUCCCGGUUCAUACAGGGGCACCAUUUAGUCCCGGUUGAUUUUACCAACCGGGAUUAAAGGGGGUACGUGCGUGUGCAUGGCGCAUGCACGUACCCCUUUAGUACUUAAGAUUUUUUUUUCAAAGUCUUUUCCAUAUUAAUAUUGUAUGCAAGUCGUAUAUAUAUUUCAUGACAGCAAUAUAUAUAUACAAUUCUUAGUAUAUUAUACAUAUCAAACUAGUAUUUAUACAAUUAAUAUAUAUAUAUAAUAAUUUGUCCUAUUCAUUCCUAGGAUCCUCCUGCCGUGGUGUUGCUCGGUGCGACUAUUGAACGUACGUCCUAAUAAAAUUCUCCCGCGAGAUUUAUUACCUCAUUCACCAGGAAUCCUAUGAGACCUUCACAUAUUGCCAAAAUACUCUCCUUCUCCUUCACAUAUUGCCAAAAUACUCUCCUUCUCCAAGAGUUUUUGUUGAAUAUUAAACAUAUGUAAUUUGGAAAUAUAUGGAUGUUACACGAACAAUUAAAUAUAAGGAGCUAGAAAAUAAUUAAUUAUUAAUAGUUUCAUUUUACAUACAUUUAUAUCAUGCAACUACAGCACUUGUGAUGCGCAAAAUUUUUCAUGUGCUCACAGACGGAGUAUCCACGUAGAUUAUUGCAUUGUUCCUGUCUCAAGCACUUAAAGUGGGAAAAAAACAAGUAAUGAAAUAUUGGUGUUAUAGAAUGUACAAAAUGUGCAAAAUUCAUACGUACUGGGAACUUUGUACUGUAUGUAAGUUGUUCUUUGAAUGGACCACGGUGAGUUUUAAGGAAUCAUUUCUAUGCACUGAUAAUUAAAAUAAUGAAUGAAAUAGUGUUAGGUGAAAAUUUAGGAAAUAAACUUUUGCAUAGAGAUAAAUGUCCAGAAUUAUUACGAGUUUAGCAUGUCUUGAAUGUCUUGGUACUCCGCCAGUGGUUUCCUCAAUGAAUCGAACACAACAAUGUGGCUUUUAUUAAUCAUAAUUAUUAUAAGAAUCGAGUGGAAACUGCAUACAUAAAUGUUCAUAUUAGAGCUAACUAACAUUAAUUAGGUAAGGAAAAAGAAAAUGAAAAUAGAUGGUAACCACACUUACUUAAAGUUGUAUGGCAAUAGUAUGUAUUCCUUGUAAUUUUGUUUGUCCAAGAAAUUGUAUACUGCCUCAAAUUAUUUCUUUGGCUGAUCCUGUAUCUGAGCUUGGUUAACGAGCGAUGGAUCCAUGAAGCCAACAUUGAAGUACGAUUCUCUACGGCACCUUUGAAGAUAUAUUAGUGUAUUUGAGGAUAUUUUUUAAUAUUAAUAAUGACAUACAUAAGUAAUUUAGACUAAUAGAUUUAGGGACUCUACUUUAACCAACUUGGUGAUGCAUUCGGUGACGCACACCUUGUGAUUAACUUUGUUUGUUUCUGUUAAUUUUGCAAGCUAGGCUCCACGUGAUAUAGGCAUUCUUUGUCGCUGGUCCUUGCAUUAAUUAUUUGGACGGCGCGGAUUAAAAAUACAUCAGCAAUUAUUGUUACUUGCAUUAUUUGGACGGCGCGGAUUAAAGAUUAAAAAAUUGAUUCCAACGCGUGCCUGUUGCUUCACGGAGUGCUGUGUCAGCAGCUAUGUAUACGUCCAUUUCUUUCUUCGUCUAGCUCGAGAUAGCAUUAUUAUAUAUACCGCUGAAAGGGGCCAAAGCAUUCAGUCUCCAACAUAACCCCAUCGUCACGGCCAACUACUCAAACGUCCAGUUCAUCUUAAUUGUGUAUCCUCAUCGUGACCAGUUUAGGCCACUCUUUGUUAAUUAAUAAGAAAUGAGAUGAGACUUAUAAUAAGACUCGAGAUGAGACUUCAUCGUGUAUCCUACUAGUCCAUCAACCCAUGUUGGCACAGAGACUAACUUAGAAAUCUAUUAAAAAUUAGGACCCGUAUAGCUAAUAAUCAUUCUUUAUCUUGAGCUCUCCCUUAUCUGUUUAAUAUUCUAAUACAAUACUCAUAAUAGAUCGGUACAUAUAUUUAUCCAGUUGUAUUGAAUCUUAUUUAGUAAUUACUCUAUGUAACUUUUUUAUCCAUAUUCAUUUUUUUCACUUUCCAAAGUGCCACCUUAUGUGCUUAACAUAUACUACCUCCAUUCAUAAAUAUUAUAUGACAUUUAGAACCAGUGAACUAGUUUGCUAGUCCUAAAUGUCAUAUAUUUAUGGACGGAGGAAGCACGUAAGUGUAACUUAACGCUUAGUGAGCUACUCUUCAUGUAUACGUGAUCUAUGACACACAUCAUGCAUAUAGUUAGUGUUUUUAAUAUUAAUAACCAUACAUAAUUAAGUAAUUUAGACUAAUAUAUUGGUGUAUUUGAGGACAUUUUUCAAUAUUAAUAACGGCAUACAUAAGUAAUUUAGACUAAUAGAUUUAGGAAAUUUACUUUAAGCAACUUGGUGAUGCAUUCGGUGACGCACACCUUGCAUUGAUUAUUUGGACGGCGCGGAUUAAAAAUACAUCAGCAAUUAUUGUUACUUGCAUUAUUUGGAUGCGGAUUAAAAAUAAAAAAUUGAUUCCAACGCCUGCCUGCUGCUUCUUCGUUCAAUCAGUCUCGAUCACACACGUCACGGAGGCUGACUACUUAUUUUAAAUAUCUUCUCUUAGCGGUUGCUAAUAUCCUUGAGCAGAACACGCCUUAAUUCGUGAUAGUAUCGGAUCUUCUGUCAUGCCUAAACGCUCGGGUACGAGACAAAGAUCUCCGUAGCAACGGUGCCAGUACGUAUACAUGAGGCAAAGAUCUCACACGCAGAGACAAUAGCUAAACAGGGACUGAGAGUCUAAACGUAAUAGGUUAACUACUCGGGAGAAAUGUGACCUUUCAAUGUACUAAUGGCUUUUCAAUGUACUAAUAGCUAAUGGCCUUUCACUAUACUUAAUGGCUAAUGGCCUUUCACUAUAAAAAUCACAUUCGUUGACACAAGCUAACGGCCUUUCACUAUACUAAUUAAGCACCAUUACGAGGUUAAAAAAAAGGUGAGGUCCAGUUUUCAAUCUAGGAAUUUUAGCAAAGAGGUAUAGGAUUUCGCCGGGAGGGGAACCUUUUGAAGUUUUGAUUGGACAUGACAUAAGUGCGGGUUUUUGUGCAAUGUGCCAAUUUCUUUUGUAUUAACCACGUCUGCAGAAUAAGCACUAUAUGCACACAUCGAACAACUUAGUGUAUUGUGGGAACAACAUUAGCAAUUUUUUAAACUAAAAUGAAAGAAAUGAUGCGCUUUGUAUAUGAUUGAUGCACUUUACUCUUUCUUUCAAGAGCACGCAAUGCACGCAUACUCAUUUAGAAGAAGAGAGUUGACACAACGCGAGCAAACCGGACACUCUAAGGUCCGUUUGGGAGGAUUUCUCCCAAAAUAAAUUUACCGGUGAAGCCAAAGUCAAUGAAACAAAAAAUAAUAGCUUCACCCGACUUCUAGUUUAUUUUAACAUCAUCUUAAAAACGGCUUCACGCUACCCUACCUAGUUUUGCGUAAAACAGGUGAAGCCGAAGCUAAGAUAAAUCUUGCCAAAUGGGGGAUGAAUUGUUAGGCAAAACAAUGCGCGACCUACGCAACGGAUAGAUAUAUAAAGCGAGAAGCACCUACGUCACAUUAAUGCCACCCCACCGAGCCCCUCGCCGGCCUGCCGCAGCAAUGGCUGCUCGGCCUCUUGCUUCUUCUUACUGUAGUCCUGCUUGCGUCGUCCUACCUCUUCCUGGCGACCAAGACGACCUAGAACGGGGCGCGUCGUCUGCCGCCGGGCCCCGCUCAGGUGCCUGUACCUUCUGGGCCCGCUGCCGCACCGGAACCUCCGGGACCUUGCCCGGCGGCACGGCCCCGUGAUUCUGCUGCGGCUGGGCACGGUGGCGACGGUGUGGUGUCCAGCGCGGCGGCGGCGCGGGAGGUGAUGAAGGAGCACGACAUCGACUGCUGCAGCCGGCCCGUGUCGCCGGGGCCCAAGCGCAUCUCCUACGGCCUCAACGACGUCAUCUUCGCGCCCUACGGCGAGCAAUGGCGCGAGAUGCGCAAGCUCUUCAUCGUCGAGCUCCUCAGCAUGCGCCGCGUCCAGGCCACGUCGUACGCGCGCGAGCAGCAGGUGGACAGGAUGAUCGCCCGCCUGAGCCGCGCGGCGCCGGCGACGCUGGUGAAGAUGGUGGUGAAGGAGACGCUGCGGCUGCACCCGCCGGCGACGCUGCUGGUGCCUCGGGAGACGGUGCGGGACGUCAGAAUCGGCGGGUACGACGUGCCGGCGAGGACGCGCGUGUUCGUGAACGCGUGGGCGAUCGGCAGGGACCCGGCGAGCUGGGCGGACGCCGAGGAGUCCCACCCGGACAGGUUCGAGGGGAGCGACGUGGACUACAACGGCGCGCACUUCGAGCUGGUGCCGUUCGGGGCGGGGCGGCGGAUCUGCCCGGGCCUCGCCAUGGGCGAGACCAACGUGACUUUCACGCUGGCUAACCUGCUCUACUGCUUCGACUGGGCGCUGCCGGAGGGGAUGGCGGCGGAGGACGUGAGCAUGGAGGAGGCCGGCGGGCUGACGUUCCACCAGAAGAUGCCGCUGGUGCUGGUGCCCACAGGGUACCACCACCGCACGGCGACGGCGUAGUGUAGUAGUAGUCGUCAUCGUAUCGUCGACGAUUGAAUAAAAGAUAAGCGUGCGCGACGUAGGUGCCUCACUUGCAUCGUCGUUGCAGUAGCUUGUAGACUUGAAAACCCAAAAAAACAAGAAAAAAAUGGUGACACUCUAAUCAGCAAGUAAUUUUAUACUUGACACACUCUUGUACGGAUCCCGAUCGAGCCGUGGUGGUGACACUCUUUGUACGGCCGCGCGUAGUGUCCAAGAUCACCCAUGAACAUAAUAUGUAAAUGUGAUCAUUUUGUCAAAUAAAACUGAGUAUAGUAAACCAAGUAAAUAUGAUAUAGCCGCAUCAAAAGUAUGAUUAUCAACUUACAAAUAAUUAUCUAGAACCUUUCGGUCACAAUAAUAAUUCCUAUCCUACAGGUGCCCACAUCCUUUAUUAACCAACAUUUCAUAUUUUUUGGACCUCACAAACACUAUAGAAGCAACAAACAACAAUGAUCACUACCGGAAAUCUCAAAUUUGCCGAGUGUUUUAUAUUUGCCGAGUAUAUUUUUUCGGGCACUCGGCGAACAAGUUCUUUGCCGAGUGUUGCGCUGAAAACACUCGCAAAAACGGGGUUUGCCGAGUGUCAAAAAAAACACUUGGCAAAGAGGGGUUUGCCGAGUGUCAAUUAAAAACACUCGGCAAAAUAAAUAAAAUCUUUUUUCUGGAAAAGAAGGAGAAGAAAAAAAUGGAAUUUUUUUUUGCCGAGUGCCCAGAUCUAGGACACUCGGCAAAGAAAUUUUCCCGCACCGCCCCGCCUCUCCUCCAAAUCCUCGCGCCCGACCCCUCUUCCUUUUUCCCGCACCGCACCGCGCCUCUCUCCUCCAAAUCCUCACGCCCCUUCUUUUUCCCCGCACCGCACCGCGCCUCCCUCCUCCAAAUCUGACCGCACAGCCCCUCCGCGUGCUUGGCCCCUCCUCUCCCUUUCUCCGGCCGCCGCCCCACCCCUCCCCUACUCUCCCUUUCUCCGACCGCCACCCCACCUAUCUUCCCCGGAUCAGGCCACCGCACCAUCCCUGUCGGGGAUACAUCCCCAGUACCCGCAAGGAAGGAAGAAGACUCCUACUAGGAUUCCCCUGUAAUCCGACUAGGACUAGUCCCGAGUACUCCUACUAGGACUCCUCCUUGUAAUCCGACUAGUACUCCGCCCCCUGGAGUAUAUAAAGGAGGGCAGGGGUACCUAGCUCGGCAGGUCAGACCUCAAGGUCAUACCUCAGCACCCAAGCCCAGGACACCCAAGAACAACUCCAACUCAACAAUAAAAAGACCAGAACAUACAUCAAUACAAACCAACACACAGGACGUAGGGUAUUACGCGAUCUAGCGGCCCGAACCUGUCUAAAUCAUGUUUCUUGCGUCACCAUUGAUUCCUUGAUUCUCGACGACCCUUACCGCAUAAAAGACCACCUAGGGUACCCCCUAGGCGGGUUGCUGGUCUAAAACACCGACAGCUGGCGUGCCAGGUAGGGGCGCUCAUCGAGUUUCUCAGCGCGAACUCAAUGGCAAAGAUCAUCAUCAGGCCCGCCUUCUUCAUCAAAGCCGGCGCAACCUUCGUUUUUGGAUCCUGGCUCUGCAUCGCUGACGGCACCGGAUCGCUCCCGCACCAGAUUGUCAACUCCGACGGCGACCUCGGGUUCCACCGUGAUUCGAACUCGAACUCCGAUGGUGACUCCGGGUCCGACUACAACUUGGAGUCCGACGGCGACUCUGGGUCCAACUCCGACUCGAAGUCUGACAGCGACUCUGAGUUCGACUACAACUCGAAACUCCGACUACAUCACGAGCCCACCGACGACUACGGGCGGCUCGCCGAUGAUUUCUUCGACUAUGUCGCGGGCACGCCAACGACUAUGGUCGGCUUGCCAACGACUUCGUCGACUACGGCCAGCUCGUCGGCGACUUCAACUACGUUGCGAGCUCGCCGACUACUACGGGCGGCUCGGCAACGACUUCGACUACUCUCCUCGACUACUUCGCUUGGCAAGACACUGACGACUACUUCGUCAUGACGCUCGCCGACUUCUCCGAGUAUGUCGCGACGCUCGCCAACUACUACGGGCGGCUCACUGACGACUACUCCGACCACAUCGCGACGCUCGCUGACGACUACUACUCGUCUCGACUACAAGGCUAGUCGAGGGCGGACUACCCCAACUCUUUGUCUCGACUAAAAAAUUAGUCGGGGCAAACUUCGCAUCGUCGACAACUAAUCAGAAUCGCCUCCGACUAGUCGACUUCGUCAACAACCGUUACGGCUUCAUCAACGACCGUCACGGCUUCGUCAACAAUCAUCCACAACUCAAGCUAAGUCACUUUUCUAAAUUAUUUUCCGGCUUGUUCUCCGUUUGUGCGCAACACGCGCUAUACUCGCCGGAAACUCUUGCGCGCAACGCGUGCUCUAUUCGCCGGAGGGCAGCAAACUCUUUCGCGCUACCGCGCUCCCUUUUUAUCGCAACAGCGAAUUUUCCUUCUUCUCUUGAGGUCACUACUCUUCUCGAGUAGUACACGCCUUAACUCGUGAAAGCCUCAGGCGCAUCUGUCACGCCUAAGCCCAUACGCGUAUACGAGGACAAUCUCACACACGCAGCGGCAACGGCUACCCAGAGACUGAGAGCCUAAGCGUAACAGGCUAACUACUCGGGAAGAGUAUGACUGAAACAAGAGCUUGACUCGCAAUCGUGCAGUCUAUUUCUUGUCGCAGCAGCGACUCCUCUCACUUUUGUCUUCUCUUAAAGUCACUAUUCUUCUCGAGCAGAACACGCCUUAACUCGUGAAAGCCUCAGGCGCAUCUGUCACGCCUAAGCCCAUACGCGUAUACGAGACAACGAUCUCACACACGCAGUGGCAACGGCUACCCAGAGACUGAGGGCCUAAUCGUAACAGGCUAACUACUCGGGAAGAAUAUGAUCGAAAUAAGAGCAUGACACAACUUUCAUACUGAUCACUGAAUAAAUUUCAACAGUUUCAAAAUCCUACAAAUAUGCUACAUAAUGUACGCAUUUUUUCUUUCAGGUCAAGCUUUGGCGACGAUGCUCGUCGCGACGCCCACUAAGCAUGCCUCCAACGGCACAGGCUAGUUCCCGAACUCGGGGGAUAAGCACCAAUCAGUACUCGGAAUAUCUCCAGUGGCUCAGCUAGCUCCCAAGCUCGGGGGCUGAAUGCUACAAAGCUACUCGACGUGGCUCCAACGACUUACCUGACGUAUAAGCUCGGGGGCUGGACGCCGCAAGACUACUCGAAUGAUGACCUGAGUGAAGAUUCAAGACCCUCGGGUUGAUUAUUCAAUCAAUCCAAGGCUCGGGGGCUGAUAAGCUACACCCAACAAUCGAUUUUUUCAAGUCGAAGAGGAAGAUUCAAGAUUUUGACCCUCAGCCUGAUUCUACGAUUUAACCUAAGGCUCGGGGGCUACUCCAUAUGGAGUGCGACUUUCGCCACCCUCCAUACACGAAGACUACAAAAUCAUGUUGAUCAAGACUUUGAGCACACCAUAGCCUCAUGGCAGCUUUGAGAAGCAUUGAAAGAUUCAGCCUGACAAAGUACUCGAAGAGCACCAAGACUACUCGGCGAAUAUCUCAAGACUACUCGAAGACUACUGCAUUCGACUAUGAAGCGCUCGGGGGCUUGUCGGGGAUACAUCCCCAGUACCCGCAAGGAAGGAAGAAGACUCCUACUAGGAUUCCCCUGUAAUCCGACUAGGACUAGUCCCGAGUACUCCUACUAUGACUCCUCCUUGUAAUCCGACUAGUACUCCGCCCCCUGGAGUAUAUAAAGAAGGGCAGGGGUACCUAGCUCGGCAGGUCAGACCUCAAGGUCAUACCUCAACACCCAAGCCCAGGACACCCAAGAACAACUCCAACUCAACAAUAAAAAGACCAGAACAUACAUCAAUACAAACCAACACACAGGACGUAGGGUAUUACACGAUCUAGCGGCCCGAACCUGUCUAAAUCGUGUUCCUUGCGUCACCAUUAAUUCCUUGAUUCUCGACGACCCUUACCGCAUAAAAGACCACCUAGGGUACCCCCUAGGCGGGUUGCUGGUCUAAAACACCGACAGUCCCUCCUCCCCGGAUCUGGCGGCCGAGGCCGCCUCCUCCCUCCCUCCCUCCCCCAACGGCGGUGCACCCCAGGCGGCAGAGGGGACGGCGGCGCGGGCUAGUGGCGGGGCACAUGGUGGCGGCAGCAGCGGGCAUGGCGGCGGCUGCGGCAGCGUGGUGCGGGCGGUGGUGGCGUGCUUGGUGGAGGUGCGGGCGUGGCUGGCGUGGUGCGGGCGGCGUGGUCCGGUGGCGGCAUGGGAGGUGGAGCCGGCGAGGAGGCCGGCUUGGUGCUGGCGGUGGUUGUGCUGGCGGAGCAGGCGGUGGUGGUGGCGGCGGCGCAGCAGGAUGUGGUGGUGGCCGAGCAGGAUGUUUUUGUUUAUUUUUUUUCAAAAAUAGUUUGCUCCGGAGCACUCGGCAAAGUCUUCGCCGAGUGUCCGAUGAUUGACACUCGACAAACGAAUCUCAAGCACGAUACAAGACGAAUGCCGCUGAUCACGGACUGGGAGUAACUGUUAUGCUGGCUUUUUCUACGGAAGCCCGGUAUAGUUGCUCGGUUGCAUCUCGGCUCAUUAGCUAGUAAAUGGCUCGCUCACUCAGCUUGGCUGACAUUAAUUACCGCUCGUUGCUAGGAGCUAUACCUCGCGCUGGCUGGACAAACAAAUGGGCACGCGUCGCACUGGUUGGGUCCGCGUUGGUUGGGUCGGUUGGCCUGGCUAGAAUAACCUAUUCGAUGAUCCGUCGUCGGUGGUCACGAGAGGCUGCUUUAACUCUCUUAUUCGAAUAAAAAAUAUUUUAAUUUAAUGAGUAAAAAUAUUAAAUGUGUAGACAUCCAAUAUAUAGGUGGAAUAAAAAUUUAGUGAUGGAAAUAAAAAAUAUCAUUAAUUUGAAAAACAUAAUUAAUCUUUUACCAUAGCAACGCAUAUUCAUUUUGCUAGUACGUAAUUAAAUUAGUAAACGCGACCAGCAGCUAGUAUUGCCCGAAGUAUUGGAGACCGAAUGGUAGUCACAUAAUCAAAUAGCAGCAUAUACUUAGACAUAUAGGGCAGCAUGGUAGGUACGUACACGUCGACGCCGACGCGUCACGUUUGACACGUACGCGCUAAGCAGUAAGCACCGUGCACCCCUGGCCCGGCCCGUAGCUGAGCACACGCAGUAAUGUUUAGGAUUAUCCUGCCAUCCACCGCAACACGGUGUGGGGCGUCUUGGCUGAGGCCAUCCGGCCGGGACGUACGUGUACGCUAGACUCUAGCAAACAAUCUACUGCACUGCAUGCUUCGUCGCACUCACUACGAUCGAUGGCCUGACGGAGAUCAUUCGAUCAGAAAACCAAUUGAGAUGUUUGUCACGUCAGAUCACCAUCACAUGCAUGCAGAUGAGUCAGCAGUCUCAUCGGGUCGCUUUUCUUUUUUUUCUCUCCAGAUCCGGGGGAUGAUCAACAGGAGAUUGCCAUCACAUGCAGAUCAUCGCCGAUGGAUCGGAAUGGUACCAUCGCCACACUUGCCAUCCUACGGACACAUAUGGUAGGUGUACUCUGCGUAGUAAAAAAAUUGUUUCCAUUAGGCACCACCGCACACGUUAUUCACGUACGAGACCGCUGGCCUUGGCCUGUUCAGUACGUGUGAACAAGUGAUCGAUGCUCCAUGUUUAAGUAAUGCUCGGACCUUGACGAGACGAGAGAGUUGUUGCGUCACCAUCGUGACGACAUGCAUGGAGCUAGCAAUAAUGCAUAUGUAUGGUACCCUAGCUACUUGCUCUACAUAUAUGAGCCCCAUCCCAGGCAGCAGUGAACCAUCAACCACAGUACACUGUCCACUACACUCCUCAGCAAGCAAGCUCAGCAGCUAGCUACUGUGUACUAGCUAGCAAGAACCCGCAGCCAUGGACGCGUACAUCUACCAGUCGCUCCUCCUCUCCGUGGCCGCCGUCGCGCUGCUCCAGCUGGUGAAGCUCGCCCUGAGGCCGAGGCCGCGGCUGCCGCCUGGGCCGUGGAAGCUGCCAGUGAUCGGCAGCAUGCACCACCUCGUCAACGUACUGCCCCACCGCGCGCUGCGGGAACUGGCGGCCGCGCACGGCCCGCUCAUGAUGCUGCGGCUCGGGGAGACGCCGCUCGUGGUGGCGUCGUCCAAGGAGGCGGCGCGCGCGGUGCUCAAGACCCACGACACCAACUUCGCCACCCGGCCCAAGCUCCUCGCCGGCGAGAUCGUCGGCUACAACUGGGCCGACAUCCUCUUCUCCCCCUCCGGCGACUACUGGCGCAAGCUCCGCCAGCUCUGCGCCGCCGAGAUCCUCAGCCCCAAGCGCGUGCUCUCCUUCCGCCACAUCAGGGAGGACGAGGUGGCGCUGAAGCUGGAGGAGAUCCGCGCGGCGGGGCCGUCGACGCCGGUGAACCUGAGCGUCAUGUUCCACAGCCUCACCAACAGCAUCGUGUCGCGGGCGGCGUUCGGGAAGAAGCGAAAGAACGCGCCGGAGUUCAUGGCGGCCAUCAAGGCCGGCGUCGGGCUUUCGAGCGGCUUCAACAUCCCGGACCUGUUCCCGACGUGGACCACUGUGCUGGCCAAGGUCACCGGCAUGAAGCGCAGCCUCCAGGACAUCCACAGGACGGUGGACUCCAUCCUGCAGGAGAUCAUCGACGAGAGGAAGGCCAUCCUCGACGAGAAGGUCAGGAGCGGCGCCGAGAACGCCGAGGAGAACCUCGUCGACGUGCUCAUCGGCCUGCAGGAGAAAGGCGGCUUCGGCUUCCACCUCAACAACAGCAGAAUCAAGGCCAUCAUAUUGGUACAUAUCCUUAGUAUUUCCAUGGAAAUAGUCACGUAGCUCGAUAGGUCUGUGUCAUUAGCGAUGAAAACGGACAGAAACGGGCGGGAAAACUCCUUUCCUGUUUCCCCUCGCGCACUUCAUCAUCGGGAGCGGGACAGCCGUGAGCGGAAACGGAAGUGGGUUAUACGGGUGUACGAAAACGAACCAAUACGACCGGAAACUCGACGGAAACGGACGGGAACCGGAAACUUUAGCUAGGACACACCAAGCUUCUGGAUGCUAAGAUUGCUUGUGGUUGUGGCACAAGGUCAUCACUUUACUGGCUACUUCAUUCGGCCAGUGAACAACAGUCACAGCACAAAACAAGGGAGGCAGGAACACCAACAAGGGACCAAUAGCAGUAUAGCACAAAAUAGGCCGGAACGGUGUGCUCCUCCUUCAGCUCCAGUUCCAGAGCGUGACAUCUUCCGAGGAUGGAGACGGCGGGAGAUGGCGGCACAUGCUGGAGCCGGGCAGCGCACGGCGUGGGCGCCAAGCGGGGAGGUGGGGAGCCGACGUGGGCACGAGGCGGAGAGCCGGAGACUGGGGAGGCGGCAUGUCGGUGCCGACAUGGGUGAGGGUGGGGGGCGACGCGGAGCGCAUGGGCGACUGGGGCCGGGCGGCGACGGUCAGGAGCGGGAGCGGCGUGGGAGGCGCCUUGGGUGGCGGCGUGGCAUGGCGGUGGAGGAGAAAGGGUGGUGGCGUGGCACUGGCGCCUGAGUGGGACUGCGGGAUAGCGGGAGUCGGACAGAGGAGAAGGGAUGGCGGCGCAGAUGGGGGUGGCCCAUGGCCAGGUGGGUGGUGAUUGGUGACUCGUUCAGGGUUAGUUGUUUGUGUGGAUUUUUUUUGCUCAUGGGUCGAAUAUCCGGGUCAUAUCCGGGUUAAAUCGGGGUCCAUCCCGAUCAAAUACGGGAUGUCGGAAAUCCGAUCGGGAUGGAGCCUCACCCGUUUCCAUGCUGCUCCCGCAACCUGUUAACCCGUGACCCGUCCUGAACUCAGAUUUUUCUGGAAAAAUGAAAAUGGACGGGUAAAAUCCCAUCCCGCCCCGCCCUGCCCCGCUUUCCACAUUUUACCCGUCCGUUUUCAUCCCUAGGUGUCGUUGACGUCUUGACGAGGCAGAGCACGCACGCAGGACAUGUUCGCCGGCGGGACGGGGACGUCGGCGUCGGCAAUGGAGUGGGGAAUGUCGGAGCUGAUGCGGAACCCGGAGGUGAUGAAGAAGCUGCAGGGGCAGAUCCGGGAGGCGUUCCAUGGGAAGUCAGUGGUGACGGAGGCCGACCUGCAGGCCAGCAACCUCCGGUACCUGAAGCUGGUGGUCAAGGAGGCGCUGCGGCUGCACCCGCCGGCGCCGCUGCUGGUACCGCGUGAGAGCAUCGAGCCCUGCGAGCUGGACGGGUACACGAUCCCGGCCAAGUCCCGCGUCGUCAUCAACGCGUUCGCCAUCGGCCGCGACCCCAAGUACUGGGACGACGCCGAGGAGUUCAAGCCGGAGCGGUUCGAGGACGGCGGCGUCGACUUCAUGGGCGGCAGCUUCGAGUUCCUGCCGUUCGGCGCGGGGCGGAGGAUGUGCCCCGGCUUCAACUACGGGCUCGCCAGCAUGGAGCUCGCGCUCGUCGGGAUGCUCUACCACUUUGACUGGUCGCUGCCGGAGGGGGUUGCUGAGGUCGACAUGGAGGAGGCACCCGGCCUCGGCGUGCGUCGGCGCUCGCCGCUGAUGCUGUGCGCCACCCCGUUCGUUCCGGUGGCUGGCUCGACGAAGUAGCCGAGGAAGACGUACAUCUCGCCACGUAGGUUGCAUGCAUGCAUGCAUGCAAACAGGCGCUCCCGCCCGGCCUCGUGCUGGCCACGUGCCGACCGAGAGCACCCUAAGUAUCUGUCCGCGCUGCAAUUAUCCUAUACACUGUAUGUGGUGUACGUGUUGCGUGUAUGUGUUGUACACUGUGGUGUGUGCUGGCUGUGGUUAAGUUUGUACUGGUAGUCUGGUAUGUAUCGCGACCCAAAAUAAUUGAGGCCUCUUGUGGCUAAUUAAUAGUUCACCUGAACUGAACAUUCAUGUAUCCCCCACGUUCCGACUGCAUUGCGUGUACGUGCACGCAGGAUUCCCCCCGGAGAAAUUAACAUAAUUCGCGAUUUUGCUCCAAAGUUUCGGUCAAUACUUAUCAGCAGCGCCGAAACUUUGAAACCAUUAAUUGGUUAAAUGCAAUCUUUUUUGAUUUAUGUUCACAAGUUUUGUUACUCCCCCUCCACUUCAAAUUGUAGGUCGUUUUGGUUUUUCUAGGUGCAUAGCUUUUAUCAUGGAUAUCUAGUGUAUAUCUAGAUGCAUAAUAAUAUCUAUAAAUCUAAAAACUUUAAAACAACUUACAAUUUGAAACGGAGGGAGUACAUCAUAGAGAAGAGUGUGUUAUUUUCAGAGACCGUGUUUAAUUUGAAAGAUAAAAACGGGAGGGACAGGUAUUUGAAGAAAAGGAAAACCACGAAUGAUAUCGUGAGCGCUUUCGUGCGUGUAAAGUCACGUUGAUCAAAUUCGCGUUCGUGCUUGUGGCCGCGUGUCAAAUUCAAUGCAUGUAUGCAUGCACGACGCCGCCGCAUUCCUCGGUCGAUCGCUUUGUCUCGUGGCAUGCAUGGCACCCAGAUGAUGAAUAAAGACAAGACAAGAAAAGACCCUGGCCGGCAUGGCACCGUCGCUUUUGGAACCGGAUCCCCUGAUGACGUACACGUAACCCCCAGCUGACGGUGCAUAUCGUGGAUGCGGGUUUGCAGAGGACGACUGCACACUGAACCUGUCCGGGUUGAACUCCUCCGGGUUGUCCCAGCUCGCGGGGUCUCUACCGAUGGCCCACACGUUCACCAGGAUCCGUGUCUUAGCCGGCACAUCGUAGCCGCAGCGCAGGGUCUCCCUCGGCAGCAGGAGCGGCGCGGCCGGGUGCAGCCGAAGCGUCUCCUUCACCACCAUCGUCAGGUACGGGAGCUUGGGCACGUCCUCGGGCUCCACGCGCGGCUUGCCUCCCACCACGGCCCUGAUCUCUUCUUGCACCUUCCUCAGCAUCGCCGGCCUUCGUAUCAGCUCCGCCAUCCGCCCAGACCAUGGUCACCGAGCUCGUGUCCACGCUAGCAGUGUACGCAUUCUGAAACAUAUACGAGCUCGGUGAUAAAGCAGUUAAGGAUUAUUAGAUGCUAGUAAAACGACCCAAUUAAUCACUGCUAGCCUAGGUUGACCAGCAAGCCUAGAACGCCGUCUAUGAUCGUGGAGAACAGUAGAUGAAUAGCGUGGAGGUUGGAAAAGUAUUAGGAUUGAGAAGACAAAAGUAAGUUGUAGAUUGAUUUGAUUGGGAUACCCUCAAUCGGCCGUGGCUCUUUAUAUUUAUAGGGUGGGAAGAUCUUACCCCAGUAGGAGUUAAAGAUUACAUAAAUCUUGUGUUAAAAUACAACUCCUAACUCAGACCAAGCUGGAUAGACGGUCAGAACAUCCAUCCAAACCGGUCUGAUCGGUCAGCCUAGGAUUGAAUCUUGUCGAAAUCAUAACUCUCUCAUUCGCACUCCAAAUUAGGUGUUCCACGUAUGCAUUUCGAUCAUCUCGACGAGCUCUACGCAACGGUGAAGUCCAAUUUGUAUUUUGAGCACUUUGAUCUGACCGGCCUGACCGAUUGGGUGACCUAUCUGGUUUGCCGGAUCGGCUGCAGGACCAAUAACUGGUUAGAUCGCUUCAGUAGGCCGGUCAGAUCGGAUGGCUUUGUCAUAUCAGCCAUAUCUGCUAUUUUUAGUGUCGUUCCAGGUGCUGAUUUGUUCUUUUUAGCAAGAUUACAUCCAGAGCAUCCAGAACAACCAUUUUGUCAUGCACAAUUCAUAUUCAAGCCAAACUUGCAGAAUAUCAAGAGUUAGUACUAAGCAAUUCUGAUCUUAGCCUCACAUAUCCCGGAUCGUGCCACUUUGAGCUCAACACCUGCCUAUUUAAACUUUUAUAAAAUCAGAUCGAUGUUAGCUAGAUGUGAGUUCUUCGUCUAGCUCGAGUAAGCAUUAUUACAUGUACCGCUGAAAGCGGCCAAAGCAUUCAGUCUCCCACGUAACCCCAUCGUCACCGACAACUACUAAAACGUCCCGUUUAUCUUCACCGUGUAUCCUCAUCGUGACCAGUUUAGGAGAAUCUUUCCCUUCUUUGUUAAUCUAUAUCUAUACGUAUUCUAUCUAUACCUAAAUGAGAACCGCUCCUGCCCACUUUUGGUUCAACGACACGUGGGCCUAAAAAUUUUCGUCCGUCCCCUCCCGUCGCGCCCCUCUGUCGAUACGCACAGCAGCGCUCUCCGCCCUCCGUUUUUUUGUUCUCCUUCCUCUAUCCGUGUCUCACUCCCAAAGAAGCCGCCGCUCCCGCAUGCCUAAUCACCUGGCCAGUGGCUGCCCGUUGCGCCGCCCUGUGGAGGCCGUCGCCACGCCUCGCCGGAGCCACGCGCCUCGCCGGGUAUGACGGCCGACCCCUCCCUCUCGUCAUGCAGAUCUACUGCACCUCUAGCAACGCACUCCUGCAGGCCGUUCCCCCCUCCACCGCUCGCUCCGCCGCCGCCGCCGCCCCAGCAAGCGGAAGGGGUGCCGAGGAGCGAGGAUGAGGUGGCACUGGGUCAGCGUCGCCCGCCGCCAUCCACUCGAGGAGGCUGGAUUCGUGGCGUCCACGAUGGAGGACAACGAUCCACUCAGGCGCGUUUGCAUCUUCGCCAACAAGUACACGCGCAUCUACGCCACCCACUGCGCUUCCCCCACCGACGCCGUCAACACCCGUUCCAUCAACGCCUGCAACAUCCUCGCGCUCUCGUGGAUGGCCGCGCCGUCACGCCUGCACUCCACGACCUGCCGCGCCACCGUCACUCGGAAUCCGCUUUAAUAGGGCGCAAGCCCUCAAGGUGAGCGAUGAGUGGAUCGAUCGAUUUUUUUUUUCCGGUGAUUUCAUCUGUUCGACUUGCACUGGCUUGCAUUUGCUAGGUCCAUGGCCAUAGUUGAACUCGGAUUAGAAACAUGGCAUGGCGUUGCUACGUCUGAUAGCCCCCAUUAGUGGACUAUGUAGGAUCAUGCGGCUUGCCUGAUAGAGGUAAUCAGGGUUGACUCAAGCCUGAUGGAGCUCAUUAGGGUCAUCGCUGAACCACGGCGGCAAUAGCAGAGCUUUGAAAAAAUAAUCAAGUAAACUUAUCGAAUUUCUCAAAAAAAGCCAAAUCAGUUUGGUUUCUUUGAUGAAUCAUCCUCUAAAGAUGAAAAAAGCCAAAUCAGUUUGGUUUCUUUGAUGAAUCAUCCUCUAAAGAUGUAACACCGUUGCUACUGUUAUCUCUGUUUGUGUCACUGUUGUUUUCAAGUUCAGGAAACAUGCACAGCUUGCAUAUCAAAAGUAUAUCAAUAUCGUACACAAUGUGCAUCUGGGCUUUGGAAGUUUUCUUAGUGGCAUUGUCAUGACUUUAAUAGAGUUUUCUUAAGGAAGCUGUUGUUUGUUGCAUUGAAUAGUUUGGAACCAAACAUUGCGAACAAGCCUACAGGUUGUUGGACCAGUGUAUUAAACUAAUUAAUGAGUAAAGUAGUACCCUGACAUGAGAUCGCAAAAGUACCUUGAGUCACUGUUCUUUUAUUGGGCAUGAAUGUAUUAGUUCCUUGUCUAUCAAUUAUGUUGAUUAUUUUGCUGCAGAGCAAGACCUGUUUCCGGAGUCUUUCUCUGUUGUAAUUAAACAAUGUCCAGGAACAAUAGAAGUAGCAGACUUACCAGUUACCACAUUGCACAUUUCAGUAAGAAUCAACAAGAGGAGAAUCAUAUGAUGGAAUAAUAUCUGCAACUCGAUUGUCCAGUGAACGGAAAUCAGGUUUCUUAAUAGUUGAAGAUUUUAGUUAUUUCGAACAUAUGAUUUGGCUCAUAUGUUAGUCCAUUUCCGAAAUGAAGGCACAGAAUCCUACUGUCAUAAUUUUUAAGCUACCAAUUAGUUGGUAAGAUAGCAUAUGUAGCACAUUAUUCUGAACAUUAACAUGUUUAGAUGUUGUUCAGUCCUUGAGUUUUGGAGAUGUGGAGCCUGUAAAAAAGCGUAAGCACCACAUUGUGGUGAAUAAGCAGUUAUUCAGUAUAUGUAUAUUUUUAAGGAUGCUUUGUCGUGUUGAACUUAUCAUGCAAUUGCAGACCUUCUUUUUGUUCUUUUCUGAACAUAACCCUUCGAACAAUUAUUUUGAUGAUGGUGGUUUAUUUCUGCAUCAGCAUGUGCAUCUACAUUUCCAAAAUCUGCUUCAGACCAUGGAUUGAUUGUAGCAAAUGGAACCUAUAUGCUUACUGCUGGCGCCUGUGUGCAGUGCAGCUGUGGACCAAGCAGUCUCAAGUAAGUGGGAUUAGUAUCGUCAUUCUUUUCAGAUGAUCUUAGUUGUACUGCUGGAUUUAACUUCUGUAUCAUUAUGCCUGUUUUCUGUUCUAUCAGUUUAUAUUGGACACCUGCUUCAUUAUCAGGAUCAUGCCCAAUCAUGCAGUGUCCUAACAGCAAUGUGAUGCUUAGCAAUGUGAGCACCCAUCCAACCAGUGCAGGAUGCAAUGUCUCUUCUUGCAUCUACGGAGGUUUUGUUAAUGGAACUAUUACUACUUCGUAAGCAGCAUUUUGCCCAAUGUUCAUUUUAUUCCAUUCUUGCUUCGUGUGGCAUUUCUGCCUAAAUUGCACGAUCACAUGGUUCGGGCAUCUCAUUCUUUGGGUAAUGGUGAGAAUAUCAAGCAAACAAUAUGGCUGAUAGGAGUACUGCUUAAUGUGAAUGUGAUAUGUUUUCGCUCUUGGAUGUUAGAAUUGAUGCGUGGUAACCAGUAGCCACUAAAAAACUUCUUAAACUUACGAAAUGUUAAAUGCUGGAUAUAGUUGUUAUGGGGAACCGAAAGGGAAAAAAAGGAUAUGGCAGUAUUUUGUGUUGGUAUAAAAUGUCAUUAGUUUGAAAAAUACAAUUGAUCUUUUAUCGUAGCAACGCACGGGCAUUUUGCUAGUUAAUAAGAAAUGAGAUGAGACUUAUAAUAAGACCUUAGAUGAGACUUCAUCGUGUAUCCUCAUCGUAAUUUGUAUCCUACUAGUCCAUCAACCCAUGUUGGCAUAGAGACUAACUUAGAAAUCUAUUAAAAAUUAGGACCCGUAUAGCUAAGGCACUGUUUGGUUUGCCCUUGCUAAACUUUACUAAAGUUUAGUCCCUUUUAGUUCCUAAAUUGCCAAACAGGGUGACUAAAAGUUGCUAAACUUUAGUCCUUAGCCCUUUAGUCCCCAAGGGGUUGCUUAUAGGGACUAAAAGGGACCUUAGACAGGGUGUAACCUUCAUUAAUGCCCCGUGCCUCCCUCCCCCCACCCCACCCAUCCCGCCGUCAACCCCCCGCCCGCCGUCGCUCCCACCCACCCCACCGCCCUGAACAGGAGAAACUGGAGUAGGAGAGCUAGCUGCUGAAGUUAAUCUUGUUCUCUUCCUCACUUGAGUUGGCAAUGGUUCCCUAUUUGCUUCCGAUAACCUUUUCUGCAUAGCAAUUAACCUAUUCAAUCUCCAAAGAUCGGUCUUCACCAUCCUGAAAUAAAGAAUAUCAUAUGAUCUUGGAUUGAAGAACGAAUUAUAUUAAAUUCCAAACAAGAUUCAAGAACGAAUCAUUCCUAUGGACUGAAUCUUGGAUCCGUCUCUUUCUUUACAAACAAUCUUAAGCUGAAUCUAAGCUAGGGUUCAAAGCUGAAUCAAUCUGAGAAACAAGCAAUAGAACAUGGAAACAUAGAAUGGAAACCAAUAAAAUAAAACAAGAAGAGAUAGAAGGCCACCUUGUUCAGCCUGGAUGGAUCGGGAGUGGGGAUUGACCCGUCGCCGACGAGCUCCACGGUGAGAAGUGGCGGCGAGUCGACGUCCAUAUCGAGGGACCCACCCAUGGAGGCAACCGCUUCCCGCAGCCGCAAUGUUGAUUCUGCCGCCAGCGCGGCCUCCAGCUCAAGACCUUGAGCGACACCAUCGUGCGGCAUCUUCGCCGCCGCCACCCCUUUUUCCCCCCUUGAUGCUGGCCUCGGUGGGUUUGACGGGUUAAAACCACAAACCAGCUGACCCCCGCUUGCUUCAUCCGGGUCCACGCGGGUCGGGGUCCAACCCGCGCUAGGAACCGGAAUGACAGGUCCAGCAGGGUUGGGUGCGGGCUGGUUCCCGGUUUCCCUGAACCCAUGAACAGGGCUACUUGUGGUUCUCUUUCCAGAGUCCCCUUUUGCAACUGAUUUGUACCUUCUCUCCCUUGGUUGACCUGGUGCCCUUUUCAGAAGUGGAGGCCACAACUUGAACCUAGGAUUAACUUGAAGCCACUGUUUACUAUCUGUCAUUGGCUUCACGGACUUUUCAUAGGCUUUCUUGAACUUUGCCAUAGAAUAGUUUUCAUGAACAUAGUCUUCAAUAUUACCUCAAAUUGAGGUUAUAAUACACAAGGCAUGUGUACAUGGCAGACCAGUAACUUGCCAGCGCCUACAGGUACGCUUCCUCUCCUGAAGAUCAACGGUAUGCCUCCAAUGAACUAGAUCUCUUGUAACACCUUCAACUUCACCUAACAUUUCACCUUAUUUCAGCCCCUGCUCCUUGCAUUAAGGUCCUUCAUCACAUUUGGCAGUAUCUUAUCUUCAAGCUUCUUAGCAAUUUUUCUUCUUAAGAACAUUUUCUCCAUGCAUAAUUGUCUGAUCCUAUCCAUAAGAUCAACAACAUGCAGGGAUUUUUCAUGCCUAAUCCAGCUGUUGAAUGUUUCAGCUAUGUUAGUUGUGUACCAAUGUCAACAAGCAAAUCAUUCCAAUUUGUGCUAUUCCUGUCUAAAAUCCUUGGAAUGUUGCAAGCAUCACAAUACAUACGAGUGCCAUCAUCACUUAGUUUCACAUAAGCACCUACACGCAUAGCAAGUCUGUAGGCUGAACUGGCAUCCAUCCUAAACGGACCUUGGCACAAAUUCGAGUGGAAUAAACACACAGUUAGUUUUACUUCAUUUGCAAAUACGAGCUCAAGUUAGCACAAGAAAUUGGAAGACCACUUACCCAUCAGGAACCCAUGAGAGAUCAGCCUGAUCCUGCGGGAAAAUCUCGCUGAGGAAUCAUGGGGGUCUCCAUCUUCUAUCCUCAGCCAACCGUGCUUGUUCUUCAAAAGGGGCUGCGCGCGGGGCGUCGGUGGGUGUCGCAGCAGCCUACGACACGUGGGGAGGGGCCACGCGCGUCCAUGGUGGCCGGCGCACCGCCGGAACGGGCCUCCGGCGGGCGGCCCUGCACACCUGGAAUGGGCGCCGGCUGAGAGGAUGGCGGCAGUGCUAGUAGUCGCAGAGAAGGGGGGGAGGGCGAGGAUAAGGUGGGAACGGCUGGUUCCUGGAGAUGAAGGCCAGCCAGGGGUGAAACAGUCAUUUUCGAUCCUUUACAAUUAAACUGAUUAAAAUAUAGAGUAUAGUGUCCAGCAGCAUAUUACCGUACUUAAAGAGUGUGUUCUAGCAAAACCACUCUUUUUUAGUGUCCUGUGGCAAAAGCCACGAUUGAACGAUGUCCGGGAGCUAAUUUUGCCUAACUUAUAUGCAUGAUGUGUGUCAUAGACCACAUAUACAUAUAUACACGAAGAGAUGAGACUAUUUAUUUCUAUGUUAAACACAUAGCUCACUAAGCGUUAAGUUGAACUUACUUCACCUCACCUCCAUGUUGAGGUACUUGAGCUUGGGCAUGUCAUCAGGCUGCACCCUCUUUGUCACCCACCACGGCCUGAUCUCAUCAUGCACUUUCUUGAGCACUUGAGGCUUUCGGAUCAGCUCCGCCAUCACCCAGACCAUGGUAACUGAGCUCCUGUCAACGCCACCAAUGAAGGUAUUCUGAAAAUUAUGAUGGAGUGAUGAAUUUACAGUUACGUGUAAUCUGCUCAUUCAUUGGUGUAAAUUGAGUCAAGUUUCUCCAUCUCUGUACAUACCGACAGUAGUGCUUUGAUAUGGUCUGUACGUACUGAACCUGAGAGACCCUUGGUGUUUGUGGUCCUCCUCCAUGAGGACGUGGACAAGAUCGCUGCUGCUGCUGUUGGCUAUCUCACGGGACGGGUCGAGGUGCUGCUGGAUGAUCAUGUCGAAGAAAGCGUCGAGCUCCCUGAACACAGUCUCACGGCGGGACACGACACCGGUGAGGUGGUCCAGGAGGCGUCCGACCACGUUGGGGAAGUAGUCCUCGGUGGAGAAACUGGCUAACACCCCCAUGGCCUCGUCGACUACAUCAUGGAAGUGCUUCGUGUGCGCGAACUGCUCCGUGCCGUAGAUAUUCCCGAACGCCACCGUACCAAUGACGCCGUCCAUGAGACCGAAGAUGUGGUCCUCCAGGAACACUUGUUUCCCUCCGGAGCUGCUCAAUCUACGGAUGAGUUUGUCCACCUAUAAUAAUACCAUCAAUAAGUAGAAUAUUCAUUAUUCCUGUCCAUUUCAAAUAGGUUGUUUUAAUUUUAUUCGACAUCAAACUUCUCUAAAUUUUCACAUAAAAAACUUCUCUAAUUUUGAUGAUGUUUAUAUGCAUUCUCAUGCUGUGUAUUUUGCAGCAAUAUAUGUUACUCGGUAUAGUACAACGCACUAGGUAUACCUGGGCCUCUCUGGCGUACCAGGCUGCCUGGACGCGGCGCAUGCUGAGCAGCUCGACGACGAAGAGCUUGCGCAUCUCGCGCCAGCAGUCGCUGUAGGGCGUGAACGCCACGUCCUUGUGGUCGUACGACAACCGCCGCGCCCCCGGUGUGUCCGGCCGGCUGCAGCACGCGGCGUCGUGCGUCUUCAGCACCUCCCUCGCACCUCCGCCGACGACACCACCAGCGUCGGCACCGUGCCCAGCCGCAGCUGCAUCACCGGCCCGUGGCGACGCGCCAGCUCGCGGAGGCUCCGGUGGGGCAGCGUGCCCAUGAUCUGAUGCAGGUUGUCCAGGACAGGCAGGACAGGCAGCCUCAGCAGUGGACCGGGCGGCAGGUGGAGGCGGCGGCCUUUGGUGGAGAAGAAGCUUCUUGUUGCAAGAUCGAGGCCGAGGAGAGGCAGAAGAAAUGUAAAGAAGAUGGCAGGGAGCUGCAGUUUCCAUUAUUGAGGCAUGCAUUCCAGGACAGGCAUAGGCAUGGCCACUGUUUCUUUUACUCCAAAUGAAAGCAAAAUAAUUAUAAUGUGAGCAUAUGCGUCUGUACCGUGCAAUUCAAAAAGAAAAAAGUUAGCUAGUAGAGCUCAUCAACUACUCCCUUCUAAGUCAAAUCUUGUUUGGCAGUUUGAGUGUUAUUUUGGUAUGCUCCAUCCAUGUAAGAGCAUAGCUAUGUUUAUGUUUGUCCUAAGUCAUACACUUUUAUUUUUGAUGGAUAAUAGCUCUAAAAAUUAUUUAUUUUAAAUAUAAAAAUUGCAUAUUAUGAUAGUAUGUGUACGAUUAUCCUGAAUCAAACUACUCUGAAAACUAUGGUGAACUACAGUUUCAAAUGAGGGCUUGGAUACAAUGUAUUCAGAUGUGAAAAAGUAUAUAAAUAUAUACAAGUAGCAGGCUAUACAUUUUUGUUUUGUUUUUAGAUGGUUGCUGCAAUUGAUUACCACAAACUUUUGGAGAUCCCACAUCAUAUAUAUCUCACAAAUGAUCGGAUUUAUUUAGAUAUUACAAGUGUCUUGGAUCCAUAAGCGGU
rnacentral:lncRNA from 1 species